CAGGCCUAACACAUGCAAGUCGAGCGGACCAUUCCUUCGGGGAUGGUUAGCGGCGGACGGGUGAGUAACACGUAGGCAACCUGCCUGUAAGAUCGGGAUAACUACCGGAAACGGUAGCUAAGACCGGAUAGCUGGUUUCCCCGCAUGGGGGAAUCAUGAAACACGGGGCAACCUGUGGCUUACGGAUGGGCCUGCGGCGCAUUAGCUAGUUGGUGGGGUAACGGCUCACCAAGGCGACGAUGCGUAGCCGACCUGAGAGGGUGAUCGGCCACACUGGGACUGAGACACGGCCCAGACUCCUACGGGAGGCAGCAGUAGGGAAUCUUCCGCAAUGGGCGCAAGCCUGACGGAGCAACGCCGCGUGAGUGAUGAAGGUUUUCGGAUCGUAAAGCUCUGUUGCCAAGGAAGAACGCCUCGGAGAGUAACUGCUCUGAGGGUGACGGUACUUGAGAAGAAAGCCCCGGCUAACUACGUGCCAGCAGCCGCGGUAAUACGUAGGGGGCAAGCGUUGUCCGGAAUUAUUGGGCGUAAAGCGCGCGCAGGCGGUCUUUUAAGUUUGGUGUUUAAGCCCGGGGCUCAACCCCGGUUCGCACUGAAAACUGGGAGACUUGAGUGCAGGAGAGGAAAGCGGAAUUCCACGUGUAGCGGUGAAAUGCGUAGAGAUGUGGAGGAACACCAGUGGCGAAGGCGGCUUUCUGGACUGUAACUGACGCUGAGGCGCGAAAGCGUGGGGAGCAAACAGGAUUAGAU
rnacentral:rRNA from 1 species